rnacentral:rRNA from 2 species
GUUUGACCUCAAAUCAGGUAGGGCUACCCGCU